rnacentral:rRNA from 1 species
UACAGAGGUCCCAAGCGUUGUUCGGAUUCACUAGGCGUAAAGGGUGCGUAGGCGGUUUGAUAAGUCUGAUGUGAAAUCCCGCAGCUUAACUGCGGAACUGCAUUGGAAACUAUUUGACUAGAGGAAUGGAGGGGAGACUGGAAUACUUGGUGUAGCAGUGAAAUGCGUAGAUAUCAAGUGGAACACCAGUGGCGAAGGCGAGUCUCUGGACAUUUCCUGACGCUGAGGCACGAAAGCCAGGGGAGCAAACGGG